rnacentral:rRNA from 1 species
CCUACGGGAGGCAGCAGUGAGGAAUAUUGGUCAAUGGCCGAGAGGCUGAACCAGCCAAGUCGCGUGAGGGAAGAAUGUCCUAAGGAUUGUAAACCUCUUUUGUCGGGGAGCAAAAAGGCUCUGCGGAGUCGUAUUGAGAGUACCCGAAGAAAAAGCAUCGGCUAACUCCGUGCCAGCAGCCGCGGUAAUACGGAGGAUGCGAGCGUUAUCCGGAUUUAUUGGGUUUAAAGGGUGCGCAGGCGGCGUGUCAAGCAAGCGGUAAAAUAGCGGGGCUCAACCCCGUCGAGCCGUUUGAACUGGCGCGC